rnacentral:rRNA from 2 species
UUUUAAUUGAAGGCUUGAAUGAAUGAUUGGACAAGAGACAUAUUGUCUUUAUUGAAUAUUUGAAUUUGUUUUUUAAGUGAAAAAACUUAAAUGUUAUUAAGGGACGAUAAGACCCUAUAAAUCUUUAUACAAUAAUAUUUUUACUUUAAUAUUUUAUGUUUAACCUGAUAAAUUUAAGAAGUAUUAUGUUGGGGUGACAAGAGUAUAAAUGUUUUAGCUGCUCUAAAUUAUACAAGGGUGCUUGGUUAAUAAUAGAUCCUUUAUUUGAGAUUAAAAAAUUAAGUUACUUUAGGGAUAACAGCGUUAUUCUUUUUGAGAGUUCUAAUCGAAAAAAGAGUUUGCGACCUCGAUGUUGAAUUAAAAUUUCUUUAUGGUGUAGCCUUUAUAAAAGUAAGUCUGUUCGACUUUUAAAAUUUUACGUGAUCU